UAAUACGUAGGGAGCGAGCGUUAUCCGGAAUUAUUGGGCGUAAAGCGUGCGUAGGCGUUUUGUUAAGUCAAAUGUGAAAGCCCUCAGCUUAACUGAGGAGUGUCAUUUGAAACUGGCAGAAUUGAGUACGGCAGAGGUUAGUGGAAUUCAAUGUGUAGCGGUGGAAUGCGUAGAUAUAUUGAGGAACACCAGUGGCGAAGGCGGCUAACUGGACCGGAACUGACGCUGAGGCACGAAAGCGUGGGGAGCAAACAGGAUUAGAUACCCUGGUAGUCCACGCCGUAAACGAUGAGAACUAAGUGUUGGGGUUACCCAGUGCUGAAGUUAACACAUUAAGUUCUCCGCCUGGGGAGUACGACCGCAAGGUUG
rnacentral:rRNA from 1 species